rfam:Dipodomys ordii contig_37591, whole genome shotgun sequence.
AGUUAGUAUGAGUUAGCAUGUAUUACAUGCAUUUACUGAAGAAGUAAAAUAAAAUCUCUAGAUUACACUGAAAUCUU